AACCUUUACACUGCACGACAGUGCGAUAGGGGGACACCGAGUGCGAGGGCAUAGAGCCCUCGCUUUUGUAGACCGUAAGGAGGUCUACGAAUAAGGGCUGGGCAAGACCGGUGCCAGCCGCCGCGGUAACACCGGCAGCCCAAGUGAUGGCCGAUAUUAUUGGGCCUAAAGCGUCCGUAGCUGGCCACACAAGUCCGUCGGGAAAUCCACUCGCUUAACGAGUGGGCGUCCGGCGGAAACUGUGCGGCUUGGGACCGGAAGAUCCGAGGGGUACGUCUGGGGUAGGAGUGAAAUCCCGUAAUCCUGGACAGACCACCGAUGGCGAAAGCACCUCGGAAGGACGGAUCCGACAGUGAGGGACGAAAGCUAGGGUCUCGAACCGGAUUAGAUACCCGGGUAGUCCUAGCCGUAAACGAUGCUCGCUAGGUGUGGCGCAGGCUACGAGCCCGCGCUGUGCCGUAGGGAAGCCGUGAAGCGAGCCGCCUGGGAAGUACGUCUGCAAGGAUGAAACUUAA
rnacentral:rRNA from 1 species